CAAAAAAGAACGAAAAAACAAACCCAGCCGCCUGGCUGUUGGGUUUUAGAGGUUGGUGAGUUGGGAAUAGUAAAAAAAAGAAUCAUUGGUAAAUACCAACAUUAAUGUCCACUGGGAACACUAAAUGGUCAUUUAAAGGGAUUUAAAUGGUCUGUCUUAUAAUGUUUAAAUAAAAGAGCAAAAGAUAGUAAUAAUAAUAAUGAAAAAAAGAAAAACGCAGAAUCUCAAAUCUCAAACCCAG
rnacentral:lncRNA from 1 species